rnacentral:rRNA from 1 species
ACGGCCCAGACUCCUACGGGAGGCAGCAGUGGGGAAUUUUCCGCAAUGCGUGAAAGCCUGACGGAGCUCUACCGCGUGAGGAACGAAGGCUCUCGUAUUGUACACCUCUUUUCUCAGGGAAGAACACAAUGACGGUACCUGAGGAAUCAGCAUCGGCUAACUCCGUGCCAGCAGCCGCGGUAAUACGGAGGAUGCAAGCGUUAUCCGGAAUGAUUGGGCGUAAAGCGUCCGCAGGUGGCUUAUCAAGUCGAUUGUCAAAGGUCCUGGCUCAACUGGGAACAGGCAGUGGAAACUGAAAAGCUAGAGUGCGGUAGGGGUAGAGGGAAUUCCCGGUGUAGCGGUGAAAUGCGUAGAGAUCGGGAAGAACACCAGUGGCGAAAGCGCUCUACUAGGCCUGCACUGACACUCAGGGACGAAAGCUAGGGGAGCGAAUGGGAUUAGAUACCCCAGUAGUCCUAGCCGUAAACGAUGGAUACUAGGCGUUGAGAGUAUCGACCCUCUCAGUGCCGUAGCUAACGCGUUAAGUAUCCCGCCUGGGGAGUACGCACGCAAGUGUGAAACUCAAAGGAAUUGACGGGGGCCCGCACAAGCGGUGGAGUAUGUGGUUUAAUUCGAUGCAACGCGAAGAACCUUACCAGGGCUUGACAUGUCCGGAACCUCUGGGAAACCAGGGGGUGCCUUCGGGAGCCGGAACGCAGGUGGUGCAUGGCUGUCGUCAGCUCGUGUCGUGAGAUGUUGGGUUAAUUUACGCAAGGAGCGCAACCCUCGUGCUUAGUUGCCAUCAUUAAGUUGGGAACUCUAAGCAGACUGCCGGUGACAAACCGGAGGAAGGUGGGGAUGACGUCAAGUCAGCAUGCUUUUGGCGGCGUGGGCAACACACGUACUACAAUGCUACGGACAAAGGGCAGCAAGAAUGUGAAUUCAAGCUAAUCUCAUAAAACGUGGCUCAGUUCAGAUCGCUGGCUGCAACUCGCCUGCGUGAAGG